GCUGUCCGAAAAUGCUGCCUCUACGUGGUGGGCGGCAGGCAACGGAGCAAAUGAAAAAUAUUCUCUGGCUAGAACGAUA
rnacentral:ribozyme from 1 species